GCCAUAGGAUGGGGGUGAGUGUUGUAAAGUUUGAUUUGAGAGUAUGAGAAAGUUGAAGGAAAAGAGUGAACUCUUGUGUUUAAUUGACUAGUCUUUAUGGGAUAAGUAGAGAAACUUCUAGCUCAAUUUGUGAAAAGUCUUGGCCCCUAAAAAAAAAAAAAAAUAAUAAUAUAUAUAUAUAUAUAUAUAUAUAAAAAAAGAGAGAAAAUGGGGCUAGCAAAGUUGUUUAGAGCUAAGAUUUGUUUAAAAGUUGAGAAAAUCCUUUAUAGAUUUCAAAGAAAAAGAGUUUUAUGGGCAAAGUGUUAUUGGGAUCUUUUGGUGAGAGAUGGGAGUUGGGUUUGACAUUAUGAAGUG
rnacentral:lncRNA from 1 species